UACGUAGGGUGCAAGCGUUAAUCGGAAUUACUGGGCGUAAAGCGUGCGUAGGCGGGUCUUUAAGUCAGGGGUGAAAUCCUGGAGCUCAACUCCAGAACUGCCUUUGAUACUGAAGAUCUUGAGUUCGGGAGAGGUGAGUGGAACUGCGAGUGUAGAGGUGAAAUUCGUAGAUAUUCGCAAGAACACCAGUGGCGAAGGCGGCUCACUGGCCCGAUACUGACGCUGAGGCACGAAAGCGUGGGGAGCAAACAGG
rnacentral:rRNA from 1 species